CUCCCCGAGGCCCAGGGUCCCAAGCGCUGAGCCCCUUGUUCCCUCGGCUGCGGUGGGUUCAGGCAGCUGCGCAUCCUCCGCUGCUCCGGGUCGUAGGAGCCCCGCGGAGCAUGUCGGAGGGGAGCGACAUGGAGAAAGCCAUCAAGGAAACCUCCAUUUUAGAAGAAUACAAUAUCAAUUGGACUCAGAAGCUGGGAGCUGGAAUUAGUGGUCCAGUUAGAGUCUGUGUGAAGAAGUCUACCCAAGAACGGUUUGCACUGAAAAUUCUUUUGGAUCGUCCAAAAGCUAGAAACGAGGUACGUCUGCACGUGAUGUGUGCCACGCACCCAAAUAUAGUGCAAAUUAUUGAAGUGUUUGCUAACAGUGUACAGUUUCCUCAUGAGUCCAGCCCCAGGGCUCGACUCUUAAUUGUAAUGGAGAUGAUGGAAGGGGGAGAGCUAUUUCACAGAAUCAGCCAGCACCGGCACUUUACAGAGAAGCAAGCCAGCCAAGUAACAAAGCAGAUAGCUUUGGCUCUACAGCACUGUCACUUGUUAAACAUUGCGCACAGAGACCUCAAGCCUGAAAAUCUGCUCUUCAAGGAUAAUUCUUUGGAUGCCCCAGUGAAGUUGUGUGACUUUGGAUUUGCCAAAAUUGACCAAGGUGACUUGAUGACACCUCAAUUUACCCCAUAUUAUGUAGCACCACAGGUACUGGAGGCACAAAGAAGGCAUCAGAAGGAGAAAUCUGGCAUCAUACCUACCUCGCCAACACCCUACACGUACAACAAGAGCUGUGACUUGUGGUCCCUAGGGGUGAUUAUCUACGUGAUGUUGUGCGGAUACCCUCCUUUUUACUCCAAACACCACAGCCGGACUAUCCCAAAGGAUAUGCGGAGAAAGAUCAUGACGGGCAGUUUUGAGUUCCCAGAGGAAGAGUGGAGCCAGAUCUCAGAGAUGGCCAAAGAUGUUGUGAGGAAGCUCUUGAAGGUCAAACCAGAGGAAAGACUUACAAUCGAGGGAGUGUUGGAUCACCCCUGGCUCAACUCAACUGAGGCCCUGGAUAAUGUGCUACCCUCUGCUCAACUGAUGAUGGAUAAGGCGGUGGUUGCAGGAAUCCAGCAGGCCCAUGCGGAACAGUUGGCCAACAUGCGAAUCCAGGAUCUGAAAGUCAGCCUCAAACCCCUGCACUCUGUGAACAACCCCAUUCUAAGGAAGAGGAAAUUACUUGGCACCAAGCCAAAGGAUGGUGUUUAUAUCCACGACCGUGAAAAUGGAGCUGAGGAUUCAAAUGUUGCCUUGGAAAAGCUCCGAGAUGUGAUUGCUCAGUGUAUUCUCCCCCAGGCUGGUAAAGGAGAGAAUGAAGAUGAGAAGCUGAAUGAAGUAGUGCAGGAAGCUUGGAAGUAUAACCGGGAAUGCAAACUCCUAAGAGAUACCCUGCAAAGCUUCAGCUGGAAUGGUUAAUGAACUGCUCAAUUGCUACCUGAAAAAUGGGGGAUCUGAACUGCUUUUGAUCAGUGUUGGGGAUGGUUCCUCCAUUGGUGAGGGUGAAUUUGACACUGGUCGUGGAUUCACAGAUAAAGUAGAUCGACUAAAACUGGCAGAAAUCGUGAAGCAAGUGAUAGAAGAGCAAACUACAUCUCACGAAUCCCAAUAAUGACAGCUUCAGACUUUGUUUUUUAACAAUUUGAAAAAUUAUUCAUUAAUGUAUAAAGUAAUUUUUAUGUAAAUUAAUGAAUCAUAAUUACAUUUCCACAUUGCUUAAAGAUGCUGUAUAAAUUUAGAUACAGGAUUUACUAAUAGUAUAGUUCAUCUGUUUGUUUUUUAAGAAAAGCCCAGUUCCUAGAGAUGUACUAUUACUUCAGGAUUGUUUAGUCAUAUGUUUGUAAAGAUAACAGAUGGCAUUGUCAAGCAAGAUGUUUUAUUUGUAAUAAAGUAUACAAAAAACCACUCGCCAGUGGUAGGCAAAGGACCAAUUAUAUUGACCUUUCUGCUUAGUAAACAGUUGAAUUGAGUACUGUGGAAUCUGGCUUCUAUUGCCCUGUGUAUUUACUUUCUGCACUAUCAGUGGAAUUAGCUCUGGUGUGAAGAAAUGUUUUUGGAUCCAUGUUGCAGACUGCCUGCUGGAACUCACAGGAUGUCAGCUACCAUGAUGGAAGAGGCAGGGAGGUGAGCCCUAUUUCUGUUAUCCAUUAUUCCCUAGAGAAAAGUGCUAACAUUUCUUUUUUGUCAUAUUUGUUGAAAGGUAUUGGUACAUUUCUUAAGUCUAAUGGGAUUCUCUAUUGAGUUUAUUCUUUUCAUAUGUAACUAGAGCUUCAGCUUCCCCCCUGCUCCCUCCACCCUGCGAAGUCCUGCUCUGUCUGCACCCUUUCCUGUAGGCCUCACCAACUCCAUUACUUCUUAUUUCCUUUCCCGUUUCUUCUGGAUCCUCUUUGGGAUGAUUUUUCUGAGAAAGUUACAUAUAAAAGCUGGACUAUUGGAUUAGCAUCUAAGAUGGUCCAGGUUAUUUGCUCUUAAAGCUACCUUUUUUCUCUUAAUGUUUCUGCCUAGGUUUCAUGUUAGCAUCCCCUGGGCUGCAUUUAUUUUGUUCAGUACCCUUCAUUUUCAGGAAGCAUGGUUCUGACCCAGAGAUCAGCUAUUUGAAUGGAAAACAAGGCUGGAUGUUUUUCUAGUUUGCUAUUGUGCUUAUGGGCUUUCAUAACAAACCAUUGUUAUUUAUUUAUUUUUAGCAGUUCUUAGUUGUUGGUUCUGUGUAGGUAAAUAGAAGAGCUAAUAGGCAACCUCCGGUUCACAGAGGAGAGGAAAAGGAUCAGUAGGCUCAGUUAUUCAGUUCUGUCUUAUCACAUUCUCUUCAAUCAAAAUCGACCCCACAGAGCUCACUUCUUUUCUUACUCCUCCACUUUGCUGAAUAUGUUUUCAUGGUGACAUUUGGUUAGUAUGCCCCUUGCGUGUGAAUGACUGUGGGAAUAUGUGAUAAAAACACAAAGUAUCUUAUCCAAACCACCUUAUUACGUUGAUUCCUUUUUAUCAUAGAGAAUUGGUAAUUCAAUGCAUUUUUUGAGGUAAGAUUCACUAAUCUUAGGUGACUGAUAACUGUUAUAAAUGGAUACCCUGUAAGGAGAAUUCAGUAUUUUUAAACAUAGCAAAACUUAAAGAGUUAGGCAACAGAGAAAAACAAUGUUUUCUUAUUUACUAACCAGAAAACUUAGCUGAGAGUUGAAUUAAGGGUUGAAUUAUUCUGUUACAAAUCACUUCUUGUAAUCAGGAAAAACUCUGCGCUGGAACAACUAAAUACCUGUUGUUUUUCUUAUCUUAGAGCAGAGUUUCAGUAUCUGCCGGGGAGAGGAAGGCAGUAAUUAACUUUGUUACUCUUCUUUUUCUUCAGAGGAACCUUCUAGCAUGCCAGUCUACCGUUAACUUAUCAAAUUUGUUAUCUGGGCGUCUUCUAAAGGCUCAGGAUGAUUUUUUUCCUUCACUAUGUGGCGAAUUUUAGGCAUGAUCUAAAAAGGUAUCCAAAUGAGGCUUCCUUUUACGCUGAGCAGCAUUUUCUCUUGUUUUAGUCCCUUCAGGCUGAAUUAAUCUGGCCUCCAAAAUGAGUGCUGUGUCUAGACAGGUCCAUGCUGAAAGUUUGUGAAUACCCUGGAGGAUGCUCCAGCUGUUGUAACUCAAAAGUGGGUCCGAUCGUACACAGAGCUCCUUGACAGUAACUCCCAAAAGACUCAGCAUUGUUUGAUCUUUAAAGAGGAAUUCUGUUUAUAGAGUUUGUUUGUAGGCCAGUAGCAAAUUCUGCUUGAAAAUUACUAGUCAGGUUUACUAAUAAAGCAAAAUUCGCAUGUACUGGAAGUGAAACAAAAUCAUCCUUGUCUCUUUUGGCCUGUCUUUCUAAUGCCUGUACCUGCAGAAAGUUCACAUUAUUAGAACAGUUCUCAGAGGCAGGGGGUUGGAGUCUCCAGUUUUCCUACAUGAUUUGCUAAUCUUCUGCUCACUGAAACCAUUACUUAUCACUCAGAUACCUUAAGACUUUACCAUAGUUAUUAAUCUGCUUGAUGUGAAACAACUUUUGUAUUUUUCUGGCUAAUGUAUUGUAUAAGCAUAGGAGAACAUCUGUCAGAAAUUGUUUGAAACAUAUACAUAGGAGGAACUGCUUUGUAAAAAGAGUUUUGUUUUUGUAUUCAUUUGAGAUAUAAUAAGUUGAAGGAAUUUAUUGGUUAAAGUAGGAGUCAAAUGAUUUAAAUCAGAUUUUGUGUGUGAAUGCUUGCGUGCACGUGUAUUUAUUUUAAAAAUGUGUUUCAAUUUGAGAACUGGAAAAUUGGAUAUUUAAUUUUAAUUAUAUUUUUAUUUAUUUAAAAAA